rnacentral:rRNA from 1 species
GAUGAACGCUGGCGGCGUGCCUAACACAUGCAAGUCGAGCGAACGGACCAGAAGCUUGCUUCUCUGAUGUUUGCGGCGGACGUGUGAGUCACACGUGGAUAACCUACCUAUAAGACUGGGAUCACUUCGGGAAUCCGGCGCUAAUCCCGGAUAAUCUUCUGAUCCGCAUGGUUCAAAAGUGAAAGACGGUCUUGCUGUCACUUAUAGAUGGAUCCGCGCUGCAUUAGCUAGUUGGUAAGGUAACGGCAUACCAAGGCAACGAUGCAUAGCCGACGUGAGAGGGUGGUCGGCGGCACUGGAGCUCGAACACGGGCCGGGGUCCUACGGGACGCACCAGAAGGGAAUCUUCCGCAAUAGGCGAGAGCCUGACGGAGCAGCACGGAGUGAGUGAUGAAGGUCUUCGGAUCGUGAAGCUCUGUUAUUAGGGGAGAACAUAUGUGUAAGUAACUGAACAGAUCUUGACGGUACCGAGUCAAAAAGCCACGGCUAACUACGUG